rnacentral:rRNA from 1 species
CAGUGGGGAAUAUUGCGCAAUGGGCGAAAGCCUGACGCAGCGACGCCGCGUGAGGGAUGAAGGCCUUCGGGUUGUAAACCUCUUUCAGCAGGGACGAAGCGAAAGUGACGGUACCUGCAGAAGAAGCACCGGCCAACUACGUGCCAGCAGCCGCGGUAAUACGUAGGGUGCAAGCGUUGUCCGGAAUUAUUGGGCGUAAAGAGCUCGUAGGCGGUUUGUCGCGUCGGCUGUGAAAACUCGGGGCUCAACCCCGAGCCUGCAGUCGAUACGGGCAAACUUGAGUGUGGUAGGGGAGACUGGAAUUCCUGGUGUAGCGGUGAAAUGCGCAGAUAUCAGGAGGAACACCGGCGGCGAAGGCGGGUCUCUGGGCCAUAACUGACGCUGAGGAGCGAAAGCGUGGGGAGCGAACAGGAUUAGA